rnacentral:rRNA from 1 species
CGGAUUGCAGGCUGCAACCCGCCUGCAUGAAGUUGGAAUUGCUAGUAAUCGCGGAUCAGCAUGCCGCGGUGAAUACGUUCCCUGGCCUUGUACACACCGCCCGUCACAUCAUGGGAGCCGGUAAUACCCGAAGUCAGUAGCCUAACCGCAAGGGGGGCGCUGCCGAAGGUAGGAUUGGCGACUGGGGUGAAGUCGUAACAAGGUAAC